rnacentral:rRNA from 1 species
UUUUCCGGUUGAUCCCGCCGGACCCUACUGCUAUCGGGGUAGGACUAAGACAUGCAAGUCGUGCGUCUCUAGGCUAUGGUAGAGACGCGGCGUACGGCUCAGUAACACGUGGCUAACCUACCCUCAGGACGGGGACAAGCCCGGGAAACUGGGACUAAUACCCGAUAGGUGAGGAGGCCUGAAAUGGUUCUUCGCUAAAAGGACGUUGAAACCAUGCCCUUCAACGUCGCCUAAGGAUGGGGCCGCGUCCGAUCAGGUUGUUGGUGAGGUAACGGCUCACCAAGCCUAUAACCGGUACGGGCCGUGAGAGCGGGAGCCCGGAGAUGGGCACUGAGACAAGGGCCCAGGCCCUACGGGGCGCAGCAGUCGCGAAACCUCCACAAUGCACGAAAGUGUGAUGGGGUUACCCCGAGUGCCGUCCGCUGAGGAUGGCUUUUACCCGGUGUAAUGAGCCGGGAGAAUAAGGAGAGGGCAAGUCUGGUGUCAGCCGCCGCGGUAAUACCAGCUCUCCGAGUGGUAGGGAUAAUUAUUGGGCUUAAAGCGUUCGUAGCCGGCUUAGCAAGUCUCCUGUUAAAUUCAGCGACCCAAUCGUUGAGCCGCGGGGGAUACUACUAGGCUAGGAGGCGGGAGAGGUCAACGGUAUUCUCGGGGUAGGGGUGAAAUCUUAUAAUCCCGGGAGGACCACCAGUGGCGAAGGCUGUCGGCUAGCACGCGCCUGACGGUGAGGGACGAAAGCUGGGGGAGCGAACCGGAUUAGAUACCCGGGUAGUCCCUGCUGUAAACGAUGCGAGCUAGGUGUUGGGGCGGCUACGAGCCGCUUCAGUGCCGCAGCAAAGGCGUUAAGCUCGCCGCCUGGGGAGUACGGCCGCAAGGCUGAAACUUAAAGGAAUUGGCGGGGGAGCACCACAAGGCGUGAAGCUUGCGGUUCAAUUGGAUUCAACGCCGGGAAUCACUAGU